UCUAUUUCCUUGCUGGAGUAUGACGUGAUUUGUGUCAUGUGCAGGUGUGAUGGAUUGCGUACAAACCAAUAGGGUGACGGAAUGGUAUAUGUUUACACUUCUCAUCCAACCAUAAUCAAAUUCACUCUAUCCGGAUGGGGCAAUUUAUCUGGAUAGUUUUUUUUGUGUGUGUGUGU